AUUGAACGCUGGCGGCAGGCCUAACACAUGCAAGUCGAACGAGUGGCGGACGCGUGAGUAAUGUCUGGGAAACUUCCCGAUGGAGGGGGAUAACUACUGGAAACGGUGGCUACUACCGCCUACCAUCUGAUGUGCCCAGAUGGGAUUAGCUAUUUGGUGGGGUAAAGGCUCACCAAGGCGACGAUCCCUAGCUGGUCUGAGAGGAUGAUAAGCCACACUGGAACUGAGACACGGUCCAGACUCCUACGGGAGGAAGAAGUGGGGAAUAUUGCACAAUGGGCGCAAGCCUGAUGAAGCAAUGCCGCGUGUAUGAAGAAGGACUUAGGGGUGGAAAGUACUUUCAGCGGGGAGGCGUUACCCGCAGAAGAAGCACCGGCUAACUCCGUGCCAGCAGCCGCGGUAAUAC
rnacentral:rRNA from 1 species